CUGAUUACAUCACCAAAAUAACUAAGCAAAAUCACGAUUCUGUACCAUACCGUCUAAGCCUUCAUAACCACAAUGUUCUAGCCACAUCAAGUGAGAGUAGGGAUACACUUUCAGAACAGAUUACACUAAACCAAGAGAAGAUGUCCAAGCUAGAACAA